rnacentral:rRNA from 1 species
GACAGAGGGUGCAAACGUUGCUCGGAAUCACUGGGCGUAAAGGCGUGUAGGCGGGAAGGAAAGUCAGAUGUGAAAUCCCUGGGCUCAACCCAGGAACUGCAUUUGAAACUCCCUUUCUUGAGUGUCGGAGAGGAAAGUGGAAUUCCGUGGUGUAGAGGUGAAAUUCGUAGAUAUCAGGAGGAACACCGGUGGCGAAGGCGGCUUCUGGACGACAACUGACGCUGAGACGCGAAAGCGUGGGGAGCAAACAGG